rnacentral:lncRNA from 1 species
UUCUCUCCCUGCUUUUGCCCCCCCGCCCUUCCUUUGAUUCGCUUUCUCGACUCGCCAAUCGCUCGCGGGAAGGGGGUAGGGGGUGGGGUCUUUCCACCGCCCCCCAAUCUCCUCUCCCUUUUCCCUUGAACGACGUACUUGCGGGCCAUCGCGCCGCCUCCUCUCCCAGCCGCUGGGGUGGGCAGGCCGAGGCUGCGACCAUUGGGGGCGGGCGGAUCGAGGCUACGACCAAUGGGAGCAGGGGGGCGGUGCUGAGGGAGGAGGGUGGUCGCGCAGCCAGCCGGGGAGUAGGAGUCCCUGUUAAUCAGAACCUCAAUCUCCAUGAGCCUGAACCACUACAAUCCUUGCUUUGGUCAUAUUUUCAGUUUCAGCAAGAACCAAUGUGAUAAAGCAUGAAUUACCCAGAAAUAAUGUAGCCUGAAGUAUCCCAAAUGAACCAUGCUGUUUUGCAGGUAGGAAACAUCAGUUAAGUGAGGCUGUAUGUUUUGAAUAGAAGUGAGGAGUGUGCCUGCUCAGGACAGGGAUGCACAUGAGCUGCCUUGAAAGCUCUGAUCGAGUAGCCUGAAGGUAGCCUUAGUGCUUCGCUAGAGCAAGGUAUUUUCAGCUGACUAAACUAACUCAUGUAGUUAAGUGUGCUGAGGUUUUGAAGUAAGGUAACUUUCUGGAAUUCACAUACCUGGAACAGGGGAAUAAGCUCAUCGCCAAACUUGAGUGAAUUUCAUAUCUGUGUUCCCAGUGGCACAAAAAGUGGUAGUUAUUUAAAUUGUAACAAGAUGAAAGAAAGGCUUGCCAAAUGGUUGGCUGCUGAAAGACUUCUGUCAACACUCAUAAUGAUUAAAUGGUACUCCAAACACAGUUCUGCUUGUUAAGUUAAUUUGGAGAUGGGCAGCAUGUGCAAAUCUGGGUAUGCAAUUUGUCGGUCACUUGUGGAAAACUUUAGCAAAUGAUUAAAACCAGCUCAGCCCAGGUGCAAAGCUAGAUUCAAGUAAGUUAAUGUUUUGUAAUUUCUGAAGUAAACUUUAGCCAGGAAAGAUGUGAGGGAAAAACUAGGUGUCUGUAGCUAACUGCUGGAGUGACUGUAGAAAGUUUGUCCUUUAAUUUCAUUGACAUAGUAACAAAUGCGCAGACUAGUACUGAACUGUUACCUGAUUUGUUUUGAGAUGCCAUGUCCUAUGGCAUUUGAUAGUGAAAGGUCCUAAGCAAGGUAUGUGUCUCGUGAAACCUCAGUGCUAAUGUCU